UGUGACAAACACAUGCUUUUGCAUGUUGGUGGAAAAAUUAUUAUAUUUUUUUUAACUAUUUACAGAAUAUAUGUACUCCUAAAAACGAUGUUCCUCACUCAGCGAUCGAUAAUGAAAAUUCUACUGAUCUAAGGUCUCAGCAAGAUGAAAAUGGAAAUCAUAUUCCUCAAUCAAUGAUCGAUUCAAAUGACAAUUCCAUCGAUCUAAAAAAUGAACAUGAUGAAAAGACAACAACUAAUGUCAACAGCGAAAAAAGCAACAGAAAGCCUGCGCAGGAAAAGCCAAAGGCAAAUAUUGUAUCCUUAACUCAGAGAGCAGCAGUCCUAGCGCAGGCAAAUAAUUCAACAAUGUCUAGCGAAAUCCAAAAGGAGCUUGAUAAAACUAGGCAAGAAAUUGAAAAGGAAAGAAAAAGCCUCAAGCGCAAGCAACAAAUUGCAAAGCUCAAAAUAAAUACAGGCAGAAUAAACAACAAAAAUUGAGUUGCCUUGAGGAAAUUCCUGAAGCUAAAAGUUUU